rnacentral:rRNA from 1 species
GGUGAACGCUGGCGGCGUGCUUAAGACAUGCAAGUCGAACGGUCUCUUCGGAGACAGUGGCGCACGGGUGAGUAACACGUAACUGACCUGCCCCAAAGUCGCGGAUAACUGGGUGAAAGUCCAGCUAAUACGUGAUGUGCUGUCAGAUUUUGUUCUGCCAGUAAAGGUUUACUGCUUUGGGAUGGGGUUGCGUUCCAUCAGCUAGUUGGCGGGGUAAAGGCCCACCAAGGCGACGACGGAUAGCCGGCCUGAGAGGGUGGCCGGCCACAGGGGCACUGAGACACGGGUCCCACUCCUACGGGAGGCAGCAGUUAGGAAUCUUCCACAAUGGGCGAAAGCCUGAUGGAGCGACGCCGCGUGAGGGAUGAAGGUUCUCGGAUCGUAAACCUCUGAACUAGGGACGAAAGACGCGAAAGCGGGAUGACGGUA